AGGAGCCGGCCUGGCGGUACGGGGUGCCGGUGCCGGCGGCGACGGGGGCGCUGAAUCCGGAGUGCUGCACGGCCCGUUCCGGAGCGGGCUGCUCCUUC
rnacentral:tRNA from 1 species